GGCCUUUUGUUUCACUGAAACUCUAAAUUUAUAAUCUGAUUUUUGUGGACCUGUGGGCUCAAAUGAGAGAGGCCCAAGUCCAAAAUUUUUCUGUUAUGUUUUAUUUAUUUAUUUAUUUAUUUAUUUUGUUUUUCGUUUUUCGUUUUUUUUAACGCGUGGGAUUCGCCUAGCGAGCAUGACAGUUCAAGAAAUUCCUCUGAGUGUAGGUGAUUC
rnacentral:lncRNA from 1 species